rnacentral:rRNA from 1 species
CGUGUAGGCGGUCGGUCAAGUCCGAUGUGAAAGCCCGGGGCUCAGCCUCGGAAGUGCAUCGGAAACUAGCCGGCUGGAGCGCGAUAGAGGAGGGUAGAAUUCCUGGUGUAGCGGUGAAAUGCGUAGAUAUCAGGAGGAAUACCGGCGGCGAAGGCGGCCCUCUGGAUCGUUGCUGACGCUGAGACGCGAAAGCGUGGGGAGCAAACAGGAUUAGAUACCCUGGUAGUCCACGCGGUAAACGAUGGGUACUAGGUGUUCGGGGUAUUGACCCCCUGAGUGCCGCAGCUAACGCAUUAAGUACCCCGCCUGGGGACUACGGCCGCAAGGUUAA